rnacentral:rRNA from 1 species
UACGAAGGGGGCUAGCGUUGUUCGGAAUCACUGGGCGUAAAGGGCGCGUAGGCGGCUUUGUAAGUCGGGGGUGAAAGCCUGUGGCUCAACCACAGAAUUGCCUUCGAUACUGCAUGGCUUGAGACCGGAAGAGGUAAGUGGAACUGCGAGUGUAGAGGUGAAAUUCGUAGAUAUUCGCAAGAACACCAGUGGCGAAGGCGGCUUACUGGACCGGAACUGACGCUGAGGCGCGAAAGCGUGGGGAGCAAACAGG